GCAAGGAUAGCUCAACUGCAUAGAGCAAUGCCCUUCUAAGGCAUUGGUUGAGGGUUGGAGUCCCUCUCCUUGUA
rnacentral:tRNA from 1 species